GGGGCGCACCGGCUGGGGGCGCUGCGCGGGGGCGCGGGGCCUGACGGGCGGGGGCGCCGGGGCUGCCGACUGGGCUGAGGUGAGGGAGUGUGAGGAGGUGAGGAACUGUGAGGGGGCCGGGGGAGGACGCCGCCGCCCGCCCGCGCCGAGCUGUGCCAGGGGCACCCAGCCGCUGCUGCCGGGGAGAAGCGGGGCGGACCCCGCGCCAAGGCUGAGGAAGUGCGCGAGGGGCGGCCGGCUCGGCAAGCCCGGACCCGCUGCCUCCCUUUCCGCAGGCGGGGAGAGAAGGCUCAGGCGCCUCCUAGCCCCCGCCACCCGCUUCCUUUCCUGCUGCCCCCGGGGCUGCCCCCGGCCCCUCGGGGACGCUCGGGGGCGCGACGCCACGGUCUAGCCGCGGGAGAAGCGGGUUUGCAUUUGUUAAUGGUGGUUUCCGCGCUGCGCCGUGAGGAUUCCUCCACUCUCCGGCCCGCCGCCGCCCCGACUCUCGGGAAAGGUGCCGCCACCGCCGGGCGGGCGGGCUCAGCCCUCCCGGGCAAAGGGGUGCGAGUCGGCGACCCCGACCCCCCGGCGCGGGCUGGGGCUCCUGUGACCCUCCAGACCCACCUACAGGAGCCAGGGCGGCAGUGACUCUGCUCCCAUUCGCCCCCAAAACGAGCUUUCAAAUGGCAACUGACCGCGGCUGCCACCGUCUUUCAGUCACCGUCCACCCGGCUCCCAAAUCUGCGGGAGACGCGCCCCGACCCCAGUGCACGAGGGCCGGGCAGGGAAGAGCGCGGGGCACACACCCGAGGCCGGUCGGCGGCGCGCUGCUGGCGGCCCUGCUGACGAGCCUGCUCCCGCGCCAGCCCCUCCAGGCUUCCCGUUAGGAAGCUUGCAAAUCCUGUUCCCUGUGUUUGGACCGCACGGAUUUCCUUUAUCAUGCACUUAAGCUAACUGUUACUCAUCUCCAAGCUCCAGAGACAAGAGCUUUGCCCAGACUGAUCUUGAACUCCUGAACUCAAAGGAUCCUUCUGCCUUGGCCUCUCAAAGUGGUGGGAUUACAGGCAUUAGCCACCACACCUGAGCAAUAUUGGCAAUUUUUAAAGUUAGAAAGCUAUUCCAUCUUAAACACUUCCGGAAGAAUUUUUCACCUCAAUCUACCAACUCACUAAUUUUUACUUUGCCAGUAGCUCAUGAGAAUUUGAAUUUAAAAAUGAGCUUUGGAUAGCAGAUGUAAGACAGAACUUCUGGAUGUUAUUCAGUGUCUCAGCAGUCCUGUGACUAUUGCCUGAGGAACACUGAAGGACAGCCAGCUAAGAAUUGCCCGGGCGUGGUGGCUCAAGCCUGUAAUCCCAGAACUUUGGGAGGCCGAGGCGGGUGGAUCACGAGGUCAAGAGAUCGAGACCAUCCCAGUCAACAUGGUGAAACCCCGUCUCUACUAAAAAUACAAAAAAUUAGCUGGGCGUGGUGGUGCGUGCCUGUAAUCCCGGGUGCUCGGGAGGCUGAGGCAGGAGAAUUGCCUGAAUCCAGGAGGCGGAGGUUGCAGUGAGCCGAGAUUGCGCCAUUGCACUCCCGCCUGGGUAACAAGAGCGAAACUCUGUCUCCAAAAAAAAAAAAAGCUAAGAUUUAUAAAAUAUACAAGCCUAUUCAAACUAAGUAUUUCAAAUAGUGAUUAAUGAAUGUAUUUGUAGAAAUUGUGUAACAAGAUACUUCCAUCUGAUUUGUAAAAAGAUUUCAGUAAAUAAAAGGAACAUGUUGUGUAUUUUGUUUGUUA